rnacentral:lncRNA from 1 species
UCAUACACUGUCGUCGUUUUUUGAAAUUUCAACCAAAUGCAUAGCAUUAACAAUAUCAUGGUAUCUCAUCUGCAAUGCUAAUGUGACAACUCAUUUUUGAUUGGCAAGUAUUGCUUUCAUCAAAAGAAGUUGAAAAACAAAAUCAAAUUGUGGGAUGUAUGUAACAAAAAAGACCAUUUGCACAUACCAUUUUAUCUCCAUCCCAUCUUCACGAAUCUUUUCAAGCAAACCAAUUAUAGCUGGAAACAUUUAAUGACGCUGAUCAAAGUUUUCAUAAUGUGAGCUCCACGGUGUAUCAGAGGACGUGCCAAGGUUGGACUCUGAUUCAAGCUCGUCCAUUUCAAGGUCCCACAGCAUUUAGUGCUUUAUAAAACUUCAGCCGCAUGUAUCUCAAGAGAGUAUCAUGACGCUUACAUGUACCUCCAACAACAUUCAGUACAUGAAUAUCAAAUUAAAAAACCAAGAAAACAUCAAAUUGUUUCUUUGCCACAGCUACAAGAGCCAACUGGAAGCUGAUGAGCAAAGCAAUGAACAAAUAUGCAUUUUAUUUUCUUGCAAGAUUAGGGUCUUCAAUCCUUGAACUUCCUCGCAUAUGCUAGAUCAUCAUAACUUGCCCACGCAACUUGAAAAUGCUCAAUUUCUAUCUGACAAAAAACAGUGAUUCGAUUGCUUCUUGAGGACUAGCAUUGUACUAUCAACAGCUCAGCCCUUUGGCAUUCACAUAACGUAUGCAAUUGCCAGCUGUUCUUUCUUGAUACAUCACGAGAUCAUCGACAAGGAUCGAAAAACAUCAUCACCAAUUUCACCAAAUUGCAAUUCCAAUCAUCCUGAGUUACUCCAUCCCCAUCAUUACUUUCUUUAUAGUUGGAACCUCCUAUUACUAAAGGUUGUGGAACAACUUCCGUUAGUAAAGGUGGAACAACUUCUUCCGGUUACUAAUGUCUCGGGUAUAACCUCUUUCGUUACGGGUGAUGAAUCAAAACUUCGUUUUGUUGAAAAAAUAUCUCUUCAUCUGAGUUAUUGUAAAAAAAAACUAAAGUCACAACUCUAAACAUCAAAAACAAUGUAGAAAAUAGUAUAUAAAUUACAAUCAACAAAGAACAAAUGGGGCUUUCAACCUGGGUGCACAAAGCAAUGUGUCUUCAGCAGGGUGCCAAAGAAUAAGAGUAUAAAGAAAACUGGUGUCUUUCAAUAAGGAAGCAAAAAGUGAAAAAAAAUGGUCUUUCAACAGGAAAGUCCACACAUAACUUGUGACAUAAAAGGGAAAACAAUGUGUCUUUCAACAAUCAACAGGGAAGCACAAAGAAAAUAAACAAACCAAAAAACUUAAGAGUCCAGUGAUUUUAUGCCAACUAGACAAAUCUCAGCAUUAUAUGCCUCCAAACCAUUGCCUGGAGCAACAGCAUAUCCAGAGAGCCAGGUAAGAACAAAUUUAACAGAACACGGUCAGAAAAUUUUUCAAUGAUAAGUUGCCCUUAAAUAAUUAGCAUUCCCAGGACAACAAAUGUUUGAUUUCUAAAGUUUCAAUCAAAGCCGAAUCACAAAAUUGGAACAUUCUGAAAAACAAAAGACUAAACUCACCCAACAAAAUUCCUUUGCUUGACAAAUUGGGGGGAUUCAUCUGAAAUUAGGGUUCAAAACAUGGAAGAGAUCUGGCGAAAGGUCGAAUCGUAAGUCCAACUGUGUGAGCCGAGAACGAUGAGAUUCGGAAGAACGACGUGAUUGAUUGAACCGUAAUCGAACGCAAAAUUCUUGUGAUCAAUGCUUCAAAAUAUGAUGUUGCUUGAGCCUUCAGCCUCAGGCCUUCGUGGUUGAAGGUUGCCUUCAGAGAUCGGACUUUAGAGUUCAAAUUCAGGACCUCGCAAAUCGCAAUAGAUAAGAUAUUUAGGGCGCGCCAAAUAUACACCCAAGUCCUUGAAUUAUUCAAAAAGGCUAUUUAAUAUUUUAUUUUAAAAAUUUUUAAAAUUAAUUUUUUUUUAAAUUUGAGGGGGGGCACGUGCCCCCUCUGGCCCCACAGUCAAUCCGCCCUGGCCAAAACAUAAACCAUACAAUUUUUUCAAAUGAUGCAAGUUGUGGUUUAAUUGUGUGAACUUCUUCAUUGGGUUAGAUUAUUAAGAUUUUAAAGGUGGAUAGUUCAGCACAAAUUGAAAAUGAUUUAGUCGAAUUCGCGCGUUAAAAACUUUGAUACAAAAGAAUCAGGUUUCACUGAGUUAACCCAUGGUUAGAUUGGAUGAUUUGUACGCUUGAUUUAAAUGGGUCCAUACCAACUUUAGUCUAUCGAUUAUGUCUUAGAUUUAAAUGGUUACGCAACCAAUUUUUCAACCCCUAUUCUUUCGCAUUUUAAUGGUGGGAAUCAUAAGAAAAAUUUUUUUAUCGCACAUUGUAUUCCAAAAUAAAUUUGUGCAUAGUUUCAUAUUGAUUUUACAUAAAUUAUAAAUAGAAAAUCAUUGGAUUUUGACAACCAAAUACAAAAAAAAAAUACUAAAACAUCUAAGAAUUUUUAAAAAACAAAAGUAAGCCAAAGUGUAUUUUUAGUAGUAAAAAGGUCUAAAUUCAAAAAAAUCAUAUCUUAUUCAAAAAAAUAAAAAGUAAUUUAUAAGGCAGAUACACUCACGAGGAAGGUGUUGUGGGACCCAAAAAUCUUAGGAAAAAGAAAUGACGAGAGAUCAUCUGUGCCCACCAGAGAGAUUAGAUCCAAUCCGAUUUGAUACGAUCCGUCGAUUUGUUCGGAUCCUCCACGCCCCACACCCAUUGGAAUAUAUUUCAAGAUCCGUAUUCCCUUGGAAAAACCCCACAACUGGAACAGUACGCUUUUCCAAGCAAAAGUUGUACAAAAGCAUUACCAGAUCCAAAUACUAUCAUGAUUGCCUCAUACACUCGAUUAAGGACAAAUUACAAUUUUAUCCUUGUACCUUUAUUUAAAUAUUAUUUUAUUCUCCAUAUGUUUAAUUAAAUCUUAUAUUGUAUUCUUCAAUUUCAAUUGUAACAAUUAACGCGUAAUGUUUACCUCUUUUCUUUUCGAGACCCCUUUCUUUUCGGUCGGCAUUGCUCCGCCAAGCAAAAAAAUUCCCACUCCUAUAAGAGUCUGGGUCAUGUCGAAGUCCCAAUGUGGCUGACAUGAUUCCUUCAUAAGCUAAAGUUGAAUGAUCGAAGCGAAAUCAAUAGGUUUAAUAGUACAUCCUAAUAGGGGACGAUCAUACUUGAUCUAUUUAUCUCUUUCAACUUGAUCUUUACGAGAUAUAUAAAAUGGAGAAGUCAAGUAGGAAGGGGUUCACUCACUUCCCAGCAUAAGUAACCCUUUUGUCCACCAAUGACUCAAUUAAGUGGCAAAAAGACCCCGUAGGCCUUAAAAUAAUUGAUCAAUAUAUAGAUGGAAUGACCACAUUCACAUACAACCUAAAGCAUAAAGGAUUGCAUGAUACAGUUAAAAUGAAAGGGCUACAAUACGAUAUUUUAAUAAAAAUACAAGGUACAAACUGUAAUUUGUUCCUUAAGAACUGACUAUUCACGCAAAUGGAUGGAGCAGAACGGACCAUAUCAUAUCCUUCUUGAGGUGGAUCCCACCUGUCACCCCAUUUAAUACUUCUGGUAUCAAAAGAAUAUUUUAUUUUAUUUUAUUCUCGUGUAGAUAUAGAGACAGGUAUAUAUAUGUAUCACGCGGCGAGCGCGGGCGGCUUUCCUCUUUUGGUCGCCGCCGGUUAGGUCUGCGACCGUGUAUGUUCAAUUAGUACUAUUAUUAGUAUUUUUUUAAUGUUGAUUACGUUGACCGUAAGAUUCCUCGAGUCUUUGGUUCGCCAAAGACUGACUCUUGGUCAAAGUAAAAAUGGUGCAAUGGACUACGCGUUUAGAGAUUAUUUUUUUAAAAAAAAAUCAUAUUAACUAGAAUUAAGUAUUUUAAAAUUUUAUUUAUUAAAUUUAUAUAUAUAUUUUUGAAGUUGUGUAAUUAAAACACGAGUUCACAUUCAAAAAAAUAUUAAAUUUUUAUAUAUAUUUUGUAAUUAUGGCGAAUAAAAAAAAGCCUCAUGAACUAGACACGUUUUGGCGUUAGGCCUUCAAAAAAUUAUUGUAAGAUCUUGUGAUAAUAUAUAUUGGCAAUCACGCGAUUUACGCAAAACUAGUUUAUUUGGACAAGUCAAAUAAAUUUAUUUAUUUCCAGUAGUUUCUUUUGUAAAUAUAAAUUAUUUAUUUUUUUACUUUUUCUAGACAAGCCAAAAGAAAUAAUUUUUUAAAAUAAACUUAUUUCAUUAAAAACAAAAAUAAUCUAACUAAAACCUUAAUUCAAGCUUAAACUAAUUGUGAAUGAUAAAUGAACUAAGCUGCUAGUAAUUUUACUCGUGUUGAGCAUGACUCGUGUUCGACUCAUUAAAAACUUAUUUUGAUGUUGAUUUGUUACUUAACAAACCUAGCUUGAAUACGUAUUUUAAACUUGUUAAUCUUGCAAGCCGAGUUUGUACUAAUCGGUUUAAUAAGUUUAUAAUGCCUAAAAAAUUCAAGUUGCUUGAGAUAGCUAGUGAUAGGCUCGAUUAAAGGUCGUUUUGAAAUUGAGUUCGAUUGAUAAACAAAUCAAGAUUGAACAUAUUUAUAAAGUUUCAUAAUUUUUAAAACCAAAUUUGAAAAAUCAAACAUUUGGCUCUGGGAUGGUUAUUUUUACCUACCUCGUAUGUGAUGGUUUUUUCCAACAUGAAAAGGCAAUGGUUUCGGGGUAGGGUUAGAGUUGGGGUUGGGGUCAUGUUUUAAUUCUUUGGCCCACAACGAAUUUUGAGCGGGUUCGAAGUAAUAUAUACCUAUAGACCCCCCAGUUUGAUCAAUCAUAAUUUUUAAUCCCAUCAUUGUAUCGUUGCCCAAUGAUAAAGAAUUAAAAUGAUAAAUUUUACGAACGAAUUGAAUGUGUAAUUUGCCUCGAAGAUCCCAUUUAUUUUUCUUUGUUUUUAGGAAGAGAGAGUUUGGGGAUUUUAGGAAAAAAAUAUGGUGUUUUUCAUUAAUAAAAUUUUAAAAGGAAU